AUUGAACGCUGGCGGCAGGCCUAACACAUGCAAGUCGAACGAGUGGCGGACGGGUGAGUAAUGUCUGGGAAACUGCCUGAUGGAGGGGGAUAACUACUGGAAACGGUAGCUAAUACCGCCUACCAUAAGAUGUGCCCAGAUGGGAUGAGCUUGUUGGUGGGGUAACGGCGCACCAAGGCGACGAUGCAUAGCUGGUCGGAGGGGAUGACCCGCCACUGGUGAACUGGGACACGGUCCCGAAUCCGACGUGAGGCAGCAGUGGGGAAUAUUGCACAAGGGGCGCAAGCCUGUAGCAGCCAUGCCGCGUGUAUGUAGAAGGCCUUCGGGUUGUAGAGUACUUUCAGCGGGGAGGCGUUACCCGCAGAAGAAGCACCGGCUAACUCCGUGCCAGCAGCCGCGGUAAUUC
rnacentral:rRNA from 1 species